GCCAGGACAUAACAGGUAAUCAAUAAGCAUCUGUGGGGCCGGGCGUAGUCCUAUUAUUUUUUUCCAUUUUAUAGAAAAGACAAUUAAGGCGCAGAGAGUUAAGUAACCAGCUCAAGGUCACACAGCAAGUAAUGGCAAAUUAAAAAAUCCAGGCAACCUGACAGCCCAGCCCAAACUCUUUAUCACUACUCUAUUAUGCCUUAUAAUACAGAUAAUUUGCAUAAUCACAAAUGAGUCAUCAAAUGAUUUUUCCAAAACAAUGGAGCAAUCUUUCCUCAAAGGUCCUAUCUACCUCCACCUUUAGAGCGGAGAAAAAAUAGUGGCAAUUCCUCAGUAUCAC
rnacentral:lncRNA from 1 species